CUACGGGGGGCUCCAGUCGAGAAUCUUCGGCAAUGGACGCAAGUCUGACCGAGCGACGCCGCGUGCGGGAUGAAGGCCUUCGGGUUGUAAACCGCUGUCAGUGGGGAGGAAAUCGGUUGGGGUUCUCCCCAGCCGUUGACCUAGCUUCAGAGGAAGGACGGGCUAAGUUCGUGCCAGCAGCCGCGGUAAGACGAACCGUCCAAACGUUAUUCGGAAUCACUGGGCUUAAAGGGUGCGUAGGCGGCCACGAAAGUUGGGUGUGAAAUCCCUCGGCUCAACCGAGGAACUGCGCUCAAAACUACAUGGCUUGAGGGAGAUAGAGGUGAGCGGAACUUAGGGUGGAGCGGUGACAUGCGUUGAUAUCCUAAGGAACACCAGUUGCGAAAGCGGCUCACUGGGUCUCUUCUGACGCUGAGGCACGAAAGCUAGGGGAGCGAAGAGGAUUAGAUACCCCUGUAGUC
rnacentral:rRNA from 1 species